GAUGAACGCUGGCGGCGUGCCUAAUACAUGCAAGUCGAGCGAACAGACGAUGAGCUUGCUCCUCUGACGUUAGCGGCGGACGGGUGAGUAACACGUGGAUAACCUACCUAUAAGACUGGGAUAACUUCGGGAAACCGGAGCUAAUACCGGAUAAUAUAUUGCACCGCAUGGUUCAAUGGUGAAAGACGGCUUUUCUGUCUCUUCUAGAUGGAUCCGCGCCGCAUUAGCUAGUUGGUAAGUUAACGGCUUACCAAGGGUACGAGGCGUAGCCGAACUGAGAGAGUGAUCGGCCACAUGAGAGCUGAGACGCGGUCAAGAGUCCUGCGGGAGGGAGCAGUAGGGAAUCUUCCGCAAUGGGCGAAAGCUUGACGGAGCAACGCCGCGUGAGUGAUGAAGGUCUUCGGAUCGUAAAACUCUGUUAUUAGGGAAGAACAAAUGUGUAAGUAACUAUGCACGUCUUGACGGUACCUAAUCAGAAAGCCACGGCUAACUACGUG
rnacentral:rRNA from 1 species